GAACGCUGGCGGCAGGCCUAACACAUGCAAGUCGAGCGGAUGAAGGGAGCUUGCUCCUGGAUUCAGCGGCGGACGGGUGAGUAAUGCCUAGGAAUCUGCCUGGUAGUGGGGGAUAACGUCCGGAAACGGGCGCUAAUACCGCAUACGUCCUGAGGGAGAAAGUGGGGGAUCUUCGGACCUCACGCUACCAGAUGAGCCUAGGUCGGAUUAGCUAGUUGGUGGGGUAAAGGCCUACCAAGGCGACGAUCCGUAACUGGUCUGAGAGGAUGAUCAGUCACGCUGGAACUGAGACACGGUCCAGACUCCUACGGGAGGCAGCAGUGGGGAAUAUUGGACAAUGGGCGAAAGCCUGAUCCAGCCAUGCCGCGUGUGUGAAGAAGGUCUUCGGAUUGUAAAGCACUUUAAGUUGGGAGGAAGGGCAGUAAGUUAAUACCUUGCUGUUUUGACGUUACCAACAGAAUAAGCACCGGCUAACUUCGUG
rnacentral:rRNA from 1 species